UACAGAGGUGGCAAGCGUUGUUCGGAAUUACUGGGCGUAAAGCGCGUGUAGGCGGUUGUUCAAGUCAGGUGUGAAAGCCUUGAGCUCAACUCAAGAAAUGCACUUGAUACUGGAUGACUAGAGGACCGGAGAGGAUAGUGGAAUUCCCAGUGUAGUGGUGAAAUACGUAGAGAUUGGGAAGAACACCAGUGGCGAAGGCGGCUAUCUGGACGGUUUCUGACGCUAAGACGCGAAAGCGUGGGGAGCAAACAGG
rnacentral:rRNA from 1 species